AGCGAACGCUGGCGGCAUGCUUUACACAUGCAAGUCGAACGGUAACAGGCCGCAAGGUGCUGACGAGUGGCGAACGGGUGAGUAAUGCAUCGGAACGUGCCCAGUCGUGGGGGAUAACGCAGCGAAAGCUGCGCUAAUACCGCAUACGAUCUAUGGAUGAAAGCGGGGGACCGUAAGGCCUCGCGCGAUUGGAGCGGCCGAUGUCAGAUUAGGUAGUUGGUGGGGUAAAGGCUCACCAAGCCGACGAUCUGUAGCUGGUCUGAGAGGACGACCAGCCACACUGGGACUGAGACACGGCCCAGACUCCUACGGGAGGCAGCAGUGGGGAAUUUUGGACAAUGGGCGCAAGCCUGAUCCAGCAAUGCCGCGUGCAGGAAGAAGGCCUUCGGGUUGUAAACUGCUUUUGUACGGAACGAAACGGCUCUGGUUAAUACCUGGGGCUAAUGACGGUACCGUAAGAAUAAGCACCGGCUAACUACGUGCCAGCCGCCGCAGUAACAC
rnacentral:rRNA from 1 species